rnacentral:rRNA from 1 species
UUACGCUGUUAUCCCUAAGGUAAUUUAUUUUAAAAUUCUAAAUUUUAGGUUUAUUAUUACAUUAAUUAAUGGAUUUAUGUUUAAAAGUUUAUUUAAUUUUAAAAUUACCCCAAUUAAAUAUAUAAAUUUAUUUAUUAUUUUAUUAAAUUAAAGAUUAAUUAAUUUAUAUAUUAAAUUCUAAAGGGUCUUCUCGUCUUUUAAUUAAAUUUAAGAAUUUUAACUUAAAAUUUAAUUUAAAUUUUUAUUUUUAUUUAUAUAGUUUAUGUUUCAUUUAAUCUUUCAUACUAGAUUUCAAUUAUAAAACUAAUUAUUAUGCUACCUUUGUACAGUUAUUUAUACUGCAGCCUUUUAAAUUUAUCAAUGGGCAGAUUUGACUUAAUAUUAUUUUCAAUAAGACAUGUUUUUGUUAAACAGGCG